GAACUCUUUACUCAAUGAUGACCUGACCAUGCCUGCCUGCUGAUCAGUUAACUGGUAAUCGCCUUUGCUUGCCUGUCGUCAGGGCAGCUAGCUGAGGCACUUGUCCGUUCAUCUUACCAUCUAACCAAACAAAAGACAAAGAAAUUGUUGUUCUCCAACUCAGCUUUUUUUUUUUUUCCCGUUUGGGUGAAAGUGGUUCUAGCACCUGCACUGAAUAUUAGUAAAGCAAUAAGGCCCAACUCAUCCCACAGCACUGAUCAUCUCUCAGUAUCCUACCGUAAGCGAACGGUAAGAAGGCCUCUCUUAAGAAGGGAGACAUGGCCCUUAACUACUCGAUGACAGAGGCAGUUACUGUGGGAGACUUCUAGGAAUCGUUUUCUUCUCAUAGCUAAGUUAAAGCUCUCUGAAUGUACUGUGUGAUGAUACAUCAUGCAUGAACCUUUGGUCAGGGAUGUCAUUGGUGAAGUGAUUUCAAAAAGUAUUCAAAAUUUGAUAUGCUGUUUAGUCACUACAGUGCCCUCAAAGGGCAAAAUUUGCAGCCUUUUUUAUAUUGCCUGACAAAAUUUGAAGUAUUAGAAAAGUGUGCCAUGAGAAAAAAUCUUAACAAGGAGUUUUGAAAAGUAAUGCAAAGAACAAAACUGCAAAACUAUUUUUAAAAAGAUGAAUAUCUGAGUAAAAAUUACUGAAACUUUAUUUUACACCUCCUUAAAAAUAUAUAUGAGAACAAGGUACAUGCAUUAUGUGUCACAUUACUGGGCAAACUGUUGAAAAUUUUUUUAAACCUCCCUGUAUAGAAAAAAAAUCAUUAAGAAUGUAAAAGCCAUGCUUGCCUAUUUGCUGUAUACAUGUAAUGAAAUUGUAGAUAAAGUGUAGUGCAUUGAAACAAAUGAACAAAAAGUAGAUACUUUUACUAUACAAGGGUGCUGGUACAGAAAAAAUAUAUAUAUUUUUGGAAAUGUAGCAUUUUAUACUUUCAAGUGUUACAAAAAAAGAAGAACAAAGAAACCCUUUAUUUCAUCAAAUGAUUUUUUCUGGUGGUUGUCAAGAAACAAAAGACCAACAGAGCCUUUUUGUCUUUCUUUUUUUAUUUUUUUAAGUAUUGGAAUAAGUCUAAAGAAAAGAAAGUGCCUUAUUUUCCUUCAUGGUCAUUUAGUCAAGGGUCUUGUAAGAUCAGCUCCUUCCUUGGAAUAAAAGUUAAUGCAUGUUAACUCAGUCGCCCAGUAUGUGAAUGAAUAUAGGAGGGGAGACAAAUGAAUCGAUGGUUUUAAUUUUAUGAUUUGUGCCACAUUACUUUGAUGCAAAUUUGCCAAAUCUGAUACUGUGAAAAAAUUUGAUAACUUUUCUAAUGUCUGACUAGUUAGUUUUAAAAGAUCAUUCUUUUAAAAAUCAUAAUUGAGUACUUCAG
rnacentral:lncRNA from 1 species